UACGGAGGGUGCAAGCGUUAUCCGGAUUCACUGGGUUUAAAGGGUGCGUAGGCGGGCAGGUAAGUCAGUGGUGAAAUCCCCGAGCUUAACUUGGGAACUGCCGUUGAUACUAUCUGUCUUGAAUACUAUGGAGGUAAGCGGAAUAUGUCAUGUAGCGGUGAAAUGCUUAGAUAUGACAUAGAACACCAAUUGCGAAGGCAGCUUGCUACACAGUUAUUGACGAUGAGGCACGAAAGCGUGGGAUCAAACAGG
rnacentral:rRNA from 1 species